CCCGGGCGCACGGGUGAGUAACGCGUAUGCAACUUACCUAUCAGAGGGGGAUAACCCGGCGAAAGUCGGACUAAUACCGCAUGAAGCAGGGGCCCCGCAUGGGGAGUAUUUGCUAAAGAUUCAUCGCUGAUAGAUAGGCAUGCGUUCCAUUAGGCAGUUGGCGGGGUAACGGCCCACCAAACCGACGAUGGAUAGGGGUUCUGAGAGGAAGGUCCCCCACAUUGGCACUGAGACACGGACCAA
rnacentral:rRNA from 1 species